rnacentral:rRNA from 1 species
CGUGCGGUUCUAUUUUGUUGGUUUCUAGGACCGCCGUAAUGAUUAAUAGGGACAGUCGGGGGCAUCAGUAUUCAAUUGUCAGAGGUGAAAUUCUUGGAUUUAUUGAAGACUAACUACUGCGAAAGCAUUUGCCAAGGAUGUUUUCAUUAAUCAGGAACGAAAGUUAGGGGAUCGAAGACGAUCAGAUACCGUCGUAGUCUUAACCGUAAACGAUGCCGACUAGGGAUCGGACGGUGUUAUUACUUGACCCGUUCGGCACCUUACGAGAAAUCAAAGUGCUUGGGCUCCAGGGGGAGUAUGGUCGCAAGGCUGAAACUUAAAGAAAUUGACGGAAGGGCACCACCAGGGGUGGAGCCUGCGGCUUAAUUUGACUCAACACGGGGAAACUCA